rnacentral:rRNA from 1 species
CCUACGGGGGGCAGCAGUGGGGAAUAUUGGACAAUGGGCGAAAGCCUGAUCCAGCCAUGCCGCGUGUGUGAAGAAGGCCUUCGGGUUGUAAAGCACUUUCAGUGGGGAAGAAAGCCUUGGGGCUAAUACCCUCGAGGAAGGACAUCACCCACAGAAGAAGCACCGGCUAACUCCGUGCCAGCAGCCGCGGUAAUACGGAGGGUGCGAGCGUUAAUCGGAAUUACUGGGCGUAAAGCGCGCGUAGGCGGUCUGAUAAGCCGGUUGUGAAAGCCCCGGGCUCAACCUGGGAACGGCAUCCGGAACUGUCAGGCUAGAGUGCAGGAGAGGAAGGUAGAAUUCCCGGUGUAGCAGUGAAAUGCGUAGAGAUCGGGAGGAAUACCAGUGGCGAAGGCGGCCUUCUGGACUGACACUGACGCUGAGGUGCGAAAGCGUGGGUAGCAAACAGGAUUAGAUACCCGGGUAGUC